ACUUUGAUCUAGUUUUUUAAUUGACUUCAAAAUUUUCAUACACAUUUAUAACUAGUACACCAAUACAUUGCAUAAAAUUGAUAUAUAUGCACACCUAAAAACUUAAGAAAUCCUCAAAUUUUUAAAUAUAUUUUUAUUUCUCAAAAUCUAAACCAACCAAGAACAUUAUUAACUAUGAAAAUCCCUUAAAAACUUAGUAUUGAUAUAAUUGACAUAAAAUCAAUGCCCAAAUAUCUCUCUUUAAGUUUUCUCUCACAUCCCACCC
rnacentral:lncRNA from 1 species